UACGAGUGGUGCAAGCGUUAUUCGGAAUGACUGGGCGUAAAGGGUGCGUAGACGGUUUAUUAAGUUUGUUGUUAAAGCCUUCGGCCUAACCGGAGAAAUGUGGCGAAAACUGAUAGACUAGUGGGUGAGAGAGAGAAGUGGAAUUCCCGGAGUAGCGGUAAAAUGCGUGGAUCUCGGGAGGAACACCAAUGGCGAAGGCAGCUUCUUGGCUCAUUCCAGACGUUGAGGCACGAAAGCGUGGGGAGCAAACAGG
rnacentral:rRNA from 1 species